rnacentral:rRNA from 1 species
AUUGAACGCUGGCGGCAGGCCUAACACAUGCAAGUCGAGCGGAUGAGUGGAGCUUGCUCCAUGAUUCAGCGGCGGACGGGUGAGUAAUGCCUAGGAAUCUGCCUGGUAGUGGGGGACAACGUUUCGAAAGGAACGCUAAUACCGCAUACGUCCUACGGGAGAAAGUGGGGGAGUCUUCGGACCUCACGCUAUCAGAUGAGCCUAGGUCGGAUUAGCUAGUUGGUGAGGUAAAGGCUCACCAAGGCGACGAUCCGUAACUGGUCUGAGAGGAUGAUCAGUCACACUGGAACUGAGACACGGUCCAGACUCCUACGGGAGGCAGCAGUGGGGAAUAUUGGACAAUGGGCGAAAGCCUGAUCCAGCCAUGCCGCGUGUGUGAAGAAGGUCUUCGGAUUGUAAAGCACUUUAAGUUGGGAGGAAGGGCAGUAAGUUAAUACCUUGCUGUUUUGACGUUACCAACAGAAUAAGCACCGGC